GUUUAUAUUUGUGUAGGAUGCAGUCAGACCUUAGAACUGCCCUUACAUGUAGAGACUAGAGGGAGAGAAAGUGACCAGAGAUAUGAAACAAGUUAAUAUCAGAGAAGAAAUUAAAAGGCAGAUCUCCUGAAACCUAAUAUAGAGUAGUAACAGCUUGAGGGUACUGCUCCAAUAGGCCCUGCAUGGCUCAGUAGCUGGAAGCAGGAUGGAAAAGAGGACCCACUGACCAUCUUUUCUAGUUAAUUGGCGAGCUGGGGAAAGUCAGCAUUUCUUCUUGUUAAUAUUAGGCUUAGCCUGUCUUUCAGCCUGUUCUUUUUGCACAGCCUAGGAAGCGAAUACUGGGAGUACCUAACCUUACUCCAUGGGUGCUAAAAAUUUCUAUCCUCUGGCUGAGGAAAUCUGCCUGCAGCUGCUGUGCAAGUGCUAUUGUGAUGUGCUGCCUUUGGAGGCCUGAUGGCAUUAGUGAGCCUAGAGCCUCUACCAAUGUCCAGCUCUUGCAGCUCAGUCUGUCCUAAAUUCUAAAUGAAGUACCUUGAAAAGAACUUCAACACCGCUGCCUCUCGGGCAAGAAUGAGAAUUGCUUCAGAGUCCCAUUCUUUCCUUGGUCUACAUCCCACUCCAGCAUCACUUCAGAGCCUGGUUAAGUGCAAAAGCAGCCAGUCAAGAACCUUCAGUCUUCUCUGGAAGAUAAACAGCCUGCGUUUGAAGAGAUAUUAAACAAAGACCAACAGAAGAUGAGCUAAAAAUGCAUUGAAAGCACAGCUCUGGCACAAUUAUGCAAAAAGCACAAGAGAGAAAGAGGGAGAAAGAAUGGAUAUUCUGUAUGACAUCUGAUUAAAUUUUCAGAACAAAUGACUGAAAAAAGAGGACAUGACCCUCUCAAACAGGGCUCUUGAAACCACCAAGGCUCAGCAAGCAGAGUGGAUGUUUUAUGGCAAUUAAAGGAUUCUGGCCUGUUGUACUACAAGGCAAAUGAUCUGGAUACACGCAGUCUCCUCCAACUGUGCGUAGUCAGUGCUCUGUAUCUGCUGUCUUCUGGACUGAAAAAAGACAUGGCAAUCAUCCGCACAUGGAAAAAGCAUAUUGUUUCUUUUUUUAAUUGCAGAAAGUAAUUCAAAAUGACAAAACUGCCUAUCCAAAUGUUUCUCUCCAUUCUGUGCAGACUCUUCCCUAGAUUUGGUUCUAUGGCCAGAUCUAGAAUGAAUGUCUGCAUCUCCAUUUGACCUAGGACUGUGGCUUUGAGGAUCUCUAAUGACAGAGCCUUCAGAUGGCAGCAUCCUACAGGCUGCUUAUCCUUCUUUUUCCUGUUCCCUCUUUUCAAGUGCAUAUUUAACAGCUGCAGUGGUGUGUAUCUCAUUUUCCACCACAGAUGAUAGUUUCUAACAGCUGAAGAAGCAGACAUUACCUGGAAUCAAACACUGGGAUGCAAUUAGCUGCUCAUGUAAGUCCAUGGCAAGUAUCUCAAAGGCAGCAUUAUGGUCUUUUCUGCUUUUUUUCCCUAUAGCUGCAGCUAUGUAAUUGCUCAACUGUUGAGUGUCUAGUAGCAUUCCUGAAGAACCAUGAACCAUGAUUGCUUGCUCUAGUACUGCCAGAAAAGCACUGCUGGCAUUGGUAUUAAAGGGGCCUCAUUCAGCAGCCCUGUAGCCUAACAUUGCUUUAAGUUGUCAGAUUCUCACUUACUGUUUCCCCUGUCUCUUUAGUUGAUUUAUGGGCACCUUGGAUGCCUACUGGCCCUCAGCUAAAAGCCAGGGGGCUUUUAGCCAUAAUUUUAGAACCAUUAGAACCACAGAACCAUUUAGAACCAUAAUUUUAGAACCAUUUUGUCUCGCUAUUCCUCUGGACACAAUUCUUUCCUGAAGAUGCUGAACAUAUAAUACAAGGCUAUUAUUCAGAGUAUGCUAAAACUUGCAUAAUUUAAGUAUGAUAUUUAAUAUAUUUCUACUGAAUGCAGGUCUUGAAUAAACAGUUGCCUAAAGUAACCCAUGGGAAAUGUCAUGUGAGCUGGAUACCUAAUCACCCUGUUUACCUCCUUGUACCGUUCUGGCAGGCUGGACGCUUUGCUGAUGCUACCUAUGCAAAGGGUUUUUAUUGCACUGCUUAGAAUGACAUUGCAUCAUCUCAUACAGGGAGAGUUCAAAACAGGCUUGUGAUUACAAGGGCUAGCUAUGUGUGCUGCUGCUUUUUCUCCCUCUGAUGAGAAAACUGGUGGGAAAUCAAAGAACAGGGGAGAAAGGAGAUGCUUCUCUCCA